rnacentral:rRNA from 1 species
GAAAAAGGGCUUGUUAUUUACAAGAUCUCUAAUUUAUGUUGUAUAGUUGUAAUUUGAAUUUAUAAAUGAAUUUUAUUAUUAGGAGUAGAUUUAUGAAAUGAUUUUUUACUAUAGUGUAUAAGUACUGUGAAGGAAAUAUGAAAUAAUUGAAAAUUAAAUAUUAAAUAAGUACUUUUAUUGAGGGUACCUUUUGUAUCAGGGAUUAUUAAAUUUUUAUUUUUAUAAUUAAUUCUCGAAAAUAAAAGAUUUAAUAAAUUAUAAUGGUUUUUGUGUUAAAAAGAUCAUAAAUAUUUUAUUAGGAGUCAAAUGUGAUUCGGUUUUAUAAGUAUCUAGUAGAUUUUGAAUAAAAUUUAGUUUAAAAGGUUGAGAGUGGAAUUAAUUUGUUAAAAUUUUGCUUAUAGAUUUUUUUAUUUUUUAGGGGUUGAGCUCUAGAAAUUUUUAAUAAUUUUUUAGAAAAUUGUUUUUAAAUUAGGCUUAGAAUUAGCUAUCUGAAAGUUUUAUAAGAUAGAAAAUUAAGUAAGUUAUUUAAUUAAGUUUUAAUAUUUAAAUGUCUAAAAUCUUGAAUAGAAUGAAGAUUGGAAAUAAUGAUAGUAUUAGUAGAUUUGAAAAAAAUUUUGGGUUAUUUAUAAGAUUUUCUUAAGAUUUUUUUAUUUUAAUAAUAUGUUAAAAGAACUCGGCAAAUAAAAUUUCCGAAUGUUUAACAAAAACAUUUCCUCUUUUUAGGGAGGUAAGGCCUGCUCACUGAUUUUUAAAGAGCCGCAGUAUUUUGACUGUGCAAAGGUAGCAUAAUCAUUAGUCCUUUAAUAGGGGGCUGGAAUGAAUGGCUAAACGAGAAAUUGACUUUUUUUAAUAUAAAAUUUGAAUUUAAUUUUUUAGUGAAAAAGCUAAAAUUUUCUAAAAAGACGAGAAGACCCUAAGAGUUUUAUUUUUAAUUAAAACAGAAAUUUUUAGGUAUAAUAGUUUUGGUUUUAUGUGAAGAUUUUGUUGGGGCGACAUUGAGAUAAAAGAAACUCUUUAUGGAGAAAAACUUUAAUGAAAGUUAAAUUUAUUGAUCCUUUAUAAAGGAUUAGAAGUGAAAUUACCUUAGGGAUAACAGCGUAAUCUUUUUUGAGAGUUCUAAUCGACAAAAAGGUUUGCGACCUCGAUGUUGGAUUAAAUUUUAAGCAAGGUGUAGUCGCUUUGUUUUUAGGUCUGUUCGACCUAUAAUAAUUUACAUGAUCUGAGUUCAGACCGGCGUGAGCCAGGUUGGUUUCUAUCUUUUAGAUUUAAUAAGAUUGGCUUAGUACGAAAGGAUUGGUCAAUUAUAAUAAUUAUUUUAUAAUUUGAGUAUUAUUAAAUUUUUAAAAUAAGUUUGGCAGAAUAUAUGUAUUAGACUUAGAAUCUAAAAAUAAGAAUU